rnacentral:lncRNA from 1 species
GGUUCCGUGUCACCUGGGUUCUGUAUCACCUGGGUUCCGUGUCACCCAGGUUCCAUGUCACCCGGGUUCCGUGUCACCUGGGUUCCGUGUCACCUGAAUUCUGUGUCACCUGGGUUCCGUGUAACCUGGGUUCUGUAUCACCUGGGUUCCGUGUCACCUGGGUUCUGUGUCACCAGGGUUCCAUAUCACCCGGGUUCCGUGUCACCUGGGUUCCCAUGUCACCUGGGUUCUGUGCCAAAUGGGUUUUGUGUCGCCUGGGUUCCGUGUCACCCAGGUUCCAUUCACUGUGUCACCUGUGUUCCGUGUCACCUGGGUUCCGUGUCACCUGGGUUCCGUGUCACUGUCACCUGUGUUUUGUGUCACCUGGAUUCCGUGUCUCCUGGGUUCCAUGUCACUGUGCCAAAUGAGUUCCGGGUCACCCAGGUUCCGUGUCACCUGGGUUCCAUAUCACCUGGGUUCCAUGUCACCCAGGUUCUGUGUCACUGUGUCACCUGGGUUCUGUGCCAAAUGGGUUCCAUGUCACCCAAGUUCCGCGUCACCAGGCUCUGUGUCACCUGGGUUCCGUGUCACCUGGGUUCCAUGUCACCCGGGUUCCAUGUCACUGUGUCACCUGGGUUCUGUGCCAAAUGGGUUCCAUGUCACUGUGUCACCUGGGUUCUGUGUCACCUGGGUUCCACGUUACUCUGUCACCUGGGUUUCAUGUCACUCAGGUUCUGUGUCACUGGGCUCUGUGUCACCUGGAUUCUGUGUCACCUGGGUUCCAUGUCACUGUGUCACCUAGGUUCCAUGUCACCCGGGCUCCAUGUCACCUGGCAGCUCCACGUCACCAUGGCACUGGGACUCAACAUCACCUGGGCUCCAUGUCACCAUGUCACCUGGCAGCUCCAUGUCACCGUGUCACCUGGGUUCCACAUCACCUGGGCUCCAUGUCACCAUGCCACUGGUGCUCAACAUCAGCCAGGCUCAGUGACACCCGUGGGCUCCAUGUCACCAGGGCGUCGUGUCACUGUGUCACCCGGGCUCCACCUCACCACCAGACUCACCCUCAGGCUUCAUCCCCACUGCCAUCACCGUCCUCAUCCUCAUCCCCAUCGCCGUCCCCAGGCCCUGGGGUGACAUGCAGCUCUCCGUGGGGCCCAAAGCUCAGCCUCCAGCCCCGUGGGGCCGCUCCGGGCAGGACGAGGCGGACGUUCACCUUCAGUGGGAUCCCAGGUGUGGGUCGCAGGCGGCAUUCAGCCGGGAAGUAACGGCGCAGGACGGGCAGCACUCUGGGGCCAGGGGGGGGCAGGCGAAGGGCAGCCAGGAGCUGGGCGGGAGGGCGGGGGGCACGGGAGGCCUCCAACAGCAGGGCGGCCAGGCGGGCGGGAGCGCUGGGCCCCCCCUGGAUGUAAUGCUCCAAGCCGUCCAGCAGCAGCAAGCCGGGGGGCUGGGCUCGGGCUGCCAUUGCCCCCAGCUCCUGGGCAAGGGCUGCCAUGGUGGGGGGGUAACGGAGCUCCAGGCGCUGCGGGAAAGGUGGGAAAAGGGAGGUCAGGCCACACCCCCCACAAGCCACGCCCCCUGUCAUCAGGCCACGCCCCCAAUUCUGGCCCCGCCCACACGCAAUAGCGAACACACCAGAGCCACGCCCCCUUUGUUGCAAGCACCGCCCACUCACGCAGCCCCGCCCCUUUCUGCUAGGCCACGCGCAUCGUGCGUAAUCACGCCCCCACGCACACAAAGCCACGCCCUCACUCAGAUAGCCACGCCCCCAAACCCACAAAGCCACGCCCCCGCACCCCACAAACCACGCCCACGCUGAAAGCCUCGCCCUCCAUUCUCAUAAAGCCACGCCCGCUCAGAAGCCACGCCUCCUCUCACAACCCACACAACCACAAAGCCACACCUCCACACAAAGCCACGCCCCCAUGCCCACAAAGCCACGCCCCCCACAGCAACAAAGCCACGCCCCCACCCAAACGCACGGCCUCAAUCUCCAUAAAGCCACGCCCACUCUCAAAGCCCCACCCCCACGCAAAAGCCACGCCUCCAUCCUCACAAAGCCACGCCCCCCACACCCACAAACCACGCCCCCACGCAAAAGCCACGCCCACAACCGCAAACCACGCCCCUAUCUCAA